rnacentral:rRNA from 1 species
ACGAACGCUGGCGGCGUGCUUAACACAUGCAAGUCGAACGGAAAGGCCCUGCUUUUGUGGGGUGCUCGAGUGGCGAACGGGUGAGUAUCACGUGAGUAACCUGCCCUUGACUUUGGGAUAACUUCAGGAAACUGGGGCUAAUACCGGAUAGGAGCUCCUGCUGCAUGGUGGGGGUUGGAAAGUUUCGGCGGUUGGGGAUGGACUCGCGGCUUAUCAGCUUGUUGGUGGGGUAGUGGCUUACCAAGGCUUUGACGGGUAGCCGGCCUGAGAGGGUGACCGGCCACAUUGGGACUGAGAUACGGCCCAGACUCCUACGGGAGGCAGCAGUGGGGAAUAUUGCACAAUGGGCGGAAGCCUGAUGCAGCAACGCCGCGUGCGGGAUGACGGCCUUCGGGUUGUAAACCGCUUUCGCCUGUGACGAAGCGUGAGUGACGGUAAUGGGUAAAGAAGCACCGGCUAACUACGUG